ACGGCUCAGUAACACGUGGAUAACCUGCCCUUGGGUCCGGCAUAACCCCGGGAAACUGGGGAUAAUUCCGGAUAACGCACAUAUGCUGGAAUGCUUUAUGCGUCAAAUGGAUUCGUCUGCCCAAGGAUGGGUCUGCGGCCUAUCAGGUAGUAGUGGGUGUAAUGUACCUACUAGCCGACGACGGGUACGGGUUGUGAGAGCAAGAGCCCGGAGAUGGAUUCUGAGACAUGAAUCCAGGCCCUACGGGGCGCAGCAGGCGCGAAAACUUUACAAUGCGGGAAACCGUGAUAAGGGGACACCGAGUGCCAGCAUCAUAUGCUGGCUGUCCAGGUGUGUAAAAUACACCUGUUAGCAAGGGCCGGGCAAGACCGGUGCCAGCCGCCGCGGUAACACCGGCGGCCCGAGUGGUGAUCGUGAUUAUUGGGUCUAAAGGGUCCGUAGCCGGUUUGGUCAGUCCUCCGGGAAAUCUGAUAGCUCAACUAUUAGGCUUUCGGGGGAUACUGCCAGACUUGGAACCGGGAGAGGUAAGAGGUACUACAGGGGUAGGAGUGAAAUCUUGUAAUCCCUGUGGGACCACCUGUGGCGAAGGCGUCUUACCAGAACGGGUUCGACGGUGAGGGACGAAAGCUGGGGGCACGAACCGGAUUAGAUACCCGGGUAGUCCCAGCCGUAAACGAUGCUCGCUAGGUGUCAGACAUGGCGCGACCGUGUCUGGUGCCGCAGGGAAGCCGUGAAGCGAGCCACCUGGGAAGUACGGCCGCAAGGCUGAAACUUAAAGGAAUUGGCGGGGGAGCAC
rnacentral:rRNA from 1 species